rnacentral:tRNA from 1 species
GCCCCGGUAGUGUAACGGACAGCAUAAGGGCCUCCGGAGCCUUUAGUCAGGGUUCAAUUCCCUGCCGGGGCG